UUGAUAGUACCUUACUACUUGGAUAACCCGUGGUAAUUCUAGAGCUAAUACAUGCUAAAAACCCCAACUUCGGGAGGGGUGUAUUUAUUAGAUAAAAAACCAAUGCCCUUCGGGGCUCCUUGGUGAUUCAUGAUAACUUCUCAGAUCGCAUGGCUUUACGCCGGCGACGGUUCAUUCAAAUUUCUGCCCUAUCAACUUUCGAUGGUAAGGUAGUGGCUUACCAUGGUUUCAACGGGUAACGGGGAAUUAGGGUUCGAUUCCGGAGAGGGAGCCUGAGAAACGGCUACCACAUCCAAGGAAGGCAGCAGGCGCGCAAAUUACCCAAUUCCGAUACGGAGAGGUAGUGACAAUAAAUACUGAUACAGGGCUCUUUUGGGUCUUGUAAUUGGAAUGAGUACAAUUUAAACCUCUUAACGAGGAACAAUUGGAGGGCAAGUCUGGUGCCAGCAGCCGCGGUAAUUCCAGCUCCAAUAGCGUAUAUUAAAGUUGUUGCAGUUAAAAAGCUCGUAGUUGAACCUUUGGCCUGGCUGGCAGGUCCGCCUCACCGCGUGCACUUGUCCGGCCGGGCCUUUUCUUCUGGAGAACCGCAUGCCCUUCACUGGGUGUGUUGGGGACCAGGACUUUUACUUUGAAAAAAUUAGAGUGUUCAAAGCAGGCCUUUGCUCGAAUACGUUAGCAUGGAAUAAUAGAAUAGGACGUGCGGUCCUAUUUUGUUGGUUUCUAGGACCGCCGUAAUGAUUAAUAGGGACAGUCGGGGGCAUCAGUAUUCAAUUGUCAGAGGUGAAAUUCUUGGAUUUAUUGAAGACUAACUACUGCGAAAGCAUUUGCCAAGGAUGUUUUCAUUAAUCAGUGAACGAAAGUUAGGGGAUCGAAGACGAUCAGAUACCGUCGUAGUCUUAACCAUAAACUAUGCCGACUAGGGAUCGG
rnacentral:rRNA from 1 species